UCUCAUCUACUGAAAGGGUCAAACCAUAUCCAAUACUCCUACAUACAGAAUCGUCUACCUCUAUCUAUCUGUGACAAUAGAAAGUUUGGUUUGGGUUUUUUCGAUUCUUUCACUCUUCGUAUUAGUGGGUUGAGUUUCUCAAACUAAAUAUUUUUUCCUUGAGUUUUACAAUGUCCUUGGCUUUUCUGCACAUGAAUCAUGAUAGACGAAAUAGAUUCAAAAAGCUUGAAAAUGGAGGAAGAGAAGAUUUUCGAGUUCCGCUAAAUUUUCCUCCAUUCUUUCUUGGUAAACAAACUGUAACAACGCUAAGCACAUUGAAUUUCCUCUGGACAAAAAAUUCUACUUAAAGGGAAGAACAACUAAGGAGAUGGAUUCAUUCACUGACUCGCCCUGCGAUUUAUGAGGUACUACUGUAUUCUGUUGUCUUUUAGAUGCAUGAUCUGCAUGAUAGUAAACUGCAUGCAGCUCAUAUUAAGAGGGAAGAGAAUGAAUUUUUGCUUCAUCAAUAAACUAAGAAUUUUUUCAGGUUACCCUUAUUUUGAUAGCGAUGGUCAAGAUAUUUCAUUUACUGAAAUUCAUAUACUUAUAGUGUAUAUAAUAAAAGGAGUGGACGAUAUAUAUAUUGGUUUUGGGCACAUUGAUGUAUUGUUCAUGAGGAAAAUGACUGCAAGAAGAUAGCAACAUAACAUGAGUGAACUUCUUUAGACGAAUAAUUUUCUUUUUAUAUUUAUGUAAUAAUGUGCUCUACUUUUCUCUGUAGUCUCAACCAACUAAGAUUCCUUAAGGCACCAUAUGUCUCGUUCAUAUUUGUCUGUUAAGUAUUAGUAUAAUUUCGUCACAACAAGUUCCUGCAUGGAUUGUUUGUGGGCUAACAGUAUUUUGUUUGGGAUGUAAUUACAAAGUCUGCCGAUAUGUUUAUACUUCUUGCCUUUCCAACAAAGUUGAUAAAACCUUUACAAUGUUAGUCAUAUUUGGUGCAUGUUAUGAUGUCGGAGGUUAGUUCUUAUGACGAUACCAAUCUACCAAUAAAAGGAUAAGUGAUGUGAAUAGGAGUUGAGCUUUGUGUAAAUACCAAUUUUCAUCAUUUCCAUCCAUUAUAGAACAUUGAAAAUUCUUAUGUGCUAAUCAUAGGGGACGUUUUGAGUAGAGUCGUCCUUUCAGAAGCACCUUGAGCGAUAUUUAGGAACUUGUAAAACUUUAAAUAUUUUCACCAAUAAAAAAACUUUAAAUGUUAAAAUAACAAGGUACUUUAAUUUUAAUUAUGUGAUUUGAUAGAAAAUUAGUUGUGACAUUCAAGUGGGCUAUAUGAAGACCUUGAUGGGUUGGACUUAUCCUUCGAUGGGUAAUACGUAAGACUCAACAUAAUAAUUUUAACAUCUUGCUGAAAGGAUUGGGCUGGGGCGUCUUAUUCCUUGACAAUUAGCUCAAAUUAAGGUGGCAGAAACUUGAUGAAUGGUCCUAUUUGAUUGUAUUUUGGUCUACAUAACAAUGUUGUUUUGAAGGUUCUCCUGAAAUCUAAGUUUUCUUUAAACUAACGCAGAAAAGAGUAAAAGUUAGUUUCCCUUUCCUAUGUUAUUAUACUUAUCUAAUGCAGUAAUUAGGUAACUGUUCUUUACUGCUAAUGUUGAUUAUUAGUCGAAACCCAAUUUUCUCACUCAUCCACUGAAGCUACUAAAAUAAUUUUAACGUCUUUUAGGAGACAAAUGGGUUAAAAUUAGAGGCUCCUAUAGGCACGCUCUAGGACAAGUAUAGUUCUAGUAGUAUGAAACUUUAUUUUCCUUUC